rnacentral:rRNA from 1 species
UACGUAGGUCCCGAGCGUUGUCCGGAAUGAUUGGGCGUAAAGGGUGCGUAGGCGGCCUGUUAAGUCUGGAGUGAAAGGUACCGGCUCAACCGGUACAGGCUCUGGAAACUGGCGGGCUAGAGAGCAGGAGAGGGCGGUGGAACUCCAUGUGUAGCGGUAAAAUGCGUAGAUAUAUGGAGGAACACCGGUGGCGAAAGCGGCUCUCUGGCCUGUAACUGACACUGAGGCUCGAGAGCGUGGGGAGCAAACAGG